CUACAGCCAUGGGCACACACAGCCACCUCACUUGCCUCUUUCUCCUCCUCACCUUCCAAGCCCCAGGGACUUUUGUUAGAGCUGCAGAUCACACUGCGUGCUGGUGCAGCACUGGACGCCCAUCGGGUGAACCACUACAUGCUGACACUGCGGGCUGCCUGCCACGGGGAGGCUGAGGCUGAAGGGCAACUCUUCAUCAGGGUGAUGGUGGCACAGGUGCUCCACUGUGCUGCCAGGUUUGCCAGCGCAGGUAAUGGUCAGUGGUGGUGGGAUGGGGCACCCGGUGCUGGAGGGG
rnacentral:lncRNA from 1 species